rnacentral:lncRNA from 1 species
CGGCGAGAAAUCGAAGGUCCCCCAAGGACCCACGUCCAGGAGCCAACAGCCUCUCUGUGCAAACCAGACAACCCUGCAGGAACUGUGCUUGAAGAAACCGUGGAAACUGCCCCCAACCCUCCCGUCUCUAUUUCUUUCUCUGUUUUAUUAUCUCAUUCUUGGCUGUGAGGUAAACAGGAGAAAAUGAGAAGGUGGUUCUGGAGGACCCGACCGAAUUUGCUUUCGUGACAGGGUCAAGCGCCCUUUCCUCGCCGGCCGCAGCCCUCACCAAAGGGGAUUUGGGGGCCUCCGGACAGGGGUCCUGAAGGUUUUGAAUUGUUCAAUCUCUGGGGGUACAGGAACCCCUGCAGGAGGUUUCAAAGGCAAGAGUUUCGCAGAGAGAAAAAAACCAUGAACUUUGCAGGUUGGUGGCGGAAUCUGGUGAUUUAAGAAAACGUGUUUAAGCCUCGGCCGGGCCGCGCCUGGGCUGUCUGCGGUGCUCUUCCGGAAUUCUCUACAAUAUCUGGAAGUGACCAAGAAAAUUCCAGAACCCGGAGGCUGCGCCGUGGAGAUAAACAUGGGCACCUGGGAAGGAACUGCUGGACCAGCAGAAUGAGGGGCCAACGCCAGGGGCAGCACUGCCCGGCCACAGAGGACUGUGGCCCCACAGAUGACACCCUCAGCUACCAGCUCCUGCAUCUGGAAGAUGACCAGGAGGAGGAAGGACGGUCUGCAAGUGUUCAAAGUGAUGUUUCCAGGCCGGGCGCGCUUGUAAUACCAGCAUUUGGGAGGCUGAGGCAGGCGGAUCACCUGAGGUCGGGAGUUCGAGACCAGCCUGACCAACGUGGAGAAACCCCGUCUCUACUAAAAAUACAAAAUUAGCCAGGCGUGGUGGCGCAGCUACUCGGGAGGCUGAGGCAGGAGAAUCGCUUGAACCCGGGAGGCGGAGGUUGCGGUGAGCUGAGAUUGUGCCAUUGCACUCCAGCCUGGGCAACAAGAGUGAAACUCCGUCUGAAAAAAAAAAAACCUCUAUAACAUCCAAAA